GACGAACCGUGCGAACGUUAUUCGGAAUCACUGGGCUUAAAGGGCGCGUAGGCGGACCACCAAGUCAGGGGUGAAAUCCUUCGGCUCAACCGAAGAAGUGCCUUUGAUACUGGUGGUCUCGAGGGAGGCAGGGGCGUGCGGAACUUCGGGUGGAGCGGUGAAAUGCGUAGAUAUCCGAAGGAACACCGGUGGCGAAAGCGGCGCGCUGGACCUCUUCUGACGCUGAGGCGCGAAAGCCAGGGGAGCAAACGGG
rnacentral:rRNA from 1 species